rnacentral:rRNA from 1 species
GCCUUCCUACGGGACGCAGCAGUGAGGAAUAUUGGUCAAUGGGCGAGAGCCUGAACCAGCCAAGUCGCGUGAGGGAGUACUGCCCUAUGGGUUGUAAACCUCUUUUGUCGGGGAGCAAAAGCCGGACGUGUCCGUCUGUGAGAGUACCCGAAGAAAAAGCAUCGGCUAACUCCGUGCCAGCAGCCGCGGUAAUACGGAGGAUGCGAGCGUUAUCCGGAUUUAUUGGGUUUAAAGGGUGCGCAGGCGGAUUUUUAAGUCAGUUGUGAAAGUUUGCGGCUCAACCGUAAAAUUGCAGUUGAAACUGG